rnacentral:rRNA from 1 species
UACGUAGGGUGCAAGCGUUGUCCGGAAUUAUUGGGCGUAAAGAGCUCGUAGGCGGUUCGUCGCGUCGGCUGUGAAAUCCCGGAGCUCAACUCCGGGUCUGCAGUCGAUACGGGCGGACUCGAGUUCGGCAGGGGAGACUGGAAUUCCUGGUGUAGCGGUGAAAUGACGUAGAUAUCGCUUGGAACGCCGAAGGUGAAAACAGGUUGCUGGGGUUGUGCCGACGGCGU